rnacentral:rRNA from 1 species
GAUGAACGCUAGCUACAGGCUUAACACAUGCAAGUCGAGGGACCGGCGCACGGGUGAGUAACACGUAUCCAACCUGCCCUUUACUCGGGGAUAGCCUUUCGAAAGAAAGAUUAAUACCCGAUAUAAAGGAUGGGGAUGCGUUCCAUUAGGUUGUUGGUGAGGUAACGGCUAACCAAGCCUUCGAUGGCUAGGGGUUCGGAGAGGAAGGUCCCCCACAUUGGAGAUAAGGCCCGGUCCAAACUCCUACGGGGUGCAGCAGUAGGUGAUAUGAGGCAAUGGGCGCUAGCCUGAACCAGCCAAGUGGCGUGAAUGAUGAAGGCUUAUGGGUCGUAAACUUCUUUUAUAUAAGAAUAGGUAUUAUAUGAAUAAGGAUCGGCUAACUCCGUGCCAGCCGCCGCGGUAAUAC